rnacentral:rRNA from 1 species
AUGGGGUGACUGCGUACCUUUUGUAUAAUGGGUCAGCGACUUAUAUUCUGUAGCAAGGUUAACCGAAUAGGGGAGCCGAAGGGAAACCGAGUCUUAACUGGGCGUUAAGUUGCAGGGUAUAGACCCGAAACCCGGUGAUCUAGCCAUGGGCAGGUUGAAGGUUGGGUAACACUAACUGGAGGACCGAACCGACUAAUGUUGAAAAAUUAGCGGAUGACUUGUGGCUGGGGGUGAAAGGCCAAUCAAACCGGGAGAUAGCUGGUUCUCCCCGAAAGCUAUUUAGGUAGCGCCUCGUGAAUUCAUCUCCGGGGGUAGAGCACUGUUUCGGCAAGGGGGUCAUCCCGACUUACCAACCCGAUGCAAACUGCGAAUACCGGAGAAUGUUAUCACGGGAGACACACGGCGGGUGCUAACGUCCGUCGUGAAGAGGGAAACAACCCAGACCGCCAGCUAAGGUCCCAAAGUCAUGGUUAAGUGGGAAACGAUGUGGGAAGGCCCAGACAGCCAGGAUGUUGGCUUAGAAGCAGCCAUCAUUUAAAGAAAGCGUAAUAGCUCACUGGUCGAGUCGGCCUGCGCGGAAGAUGUAACGGGGCUAAACCAUGCACCGAAGCUGCGGCAGCGACACU